GACGAACGCUGGCGGCGUGCUUAACACAUGCAAGUCGAACGGAAAGGCCCCUUUGGGGGUACUCGAGUGGCGCACGGGUGCGUAACACGUGAGUAACCUGCCCUUGACUUCGGGAUAACUUCAGGAAACUGGGGCUAAUACCGGAUAGGAAUCCUUGCUGCAUGGUGGGGGUUGGAAAGCUUCGGCGGUUUUGGAUGGACUCGCGGCUUAUCAGCUUGUUGGUGGGGUAGUGGCUUACCAAGGCUUUGACGGGUAGCCGGCCUGAGAGGGCGACCGGCCACAUUGGGACUGAGAUACGGCCCAGACUCCUACGGGAGGCAGCAGUGGGGAAUAUUGCACAAUGGGCGGAAGCCUGAUGCAGCAACGCCGCGUGCGGGAUGACGGCCUUCGGGUUGGAAACCGCGUUCAGCAGGGGCGAAGCUUGUGGUGACGGUACCUGCAGAAGAAGCACCGGCCAACUACGUG
rnacentral:rRNA from 1 species